rnacentral:ncRNA from 1 species
ACCGAUUGCAGUGACUGGCGAUAGAAAAGUGGAACUGACCACGGGGAAACUGCUAUCUUAGAAUCUGCCGUUCGCCUGGGCAAUAAUG